rnacentral:lncRNA from 1 species
AGAAGCACCAGGAGGAGUUACUCAACCAUGAAAAUGAGGUGAUGACACUGAAGAAGAGCGUUGAGAGGCUGGAGGUUGCUUUGGGGGAUAAGCAGAGGCUCCUGGAGCUCCAAACAACAGAGAGGGACUUGCUAAAAAACAGACUGGAGAAGAAGAUUGGGGAGCAAGCUUCUAUGUUCACGGAGUCUGAGGCAGAGAGGCACACACAACAAAAGAAGAGCAAAGCUGAGCUGGAUCUGGUGCAGGCACAGAUUGAGCACCUUCGUGACCAGCUGCUGAUGAUGUUACCCACUGAACCCUCUGACUCCACUUCCCAUGAUGCCUUGUCAGACCAGCAGGUAUUAGAGCAGGUGGCAGAGCUGCUAGGAGAGAGAGAGAGCCUGAUGAGUAAAAUAGAGGAGCUGGAAGGACAACUGAAGGAGCUCAUGACUGAACAGGAGGGGGCAGCAGAGGACACAGAGAGACUGAAGAGUAGGCUGGAGACCUGUCAGAGUCAAUUACAGGAGGCAUGCUCGGCAAAUGCACUGGAAAAGGCCAUGACCUCACUACAGGAGGAUAGUGUGUCUCCAGCUCUGGCCUGGGUCAAGGCUUCAGUCCUCUCCAUAAUGGCUACCCAGCUCCCACUGCUUCAGAGUGCCACCCAGGCACUACUGGAAGCUGGGAUAGAUGCUUCACAUCUCACUGAAGGAGUCCUGAGUGGCAUCAGAACCCUGGUCAAUGAGCAUCAGGGUUACACAGUGGAGCUUCAGCAUUUGAAGAUAGACCUGGAGGAGCUCCAGGAGAGAGAAGCAAAUUCCAGAGAGCUGCAGGAGCUUCUGAGCAUUACCAGAGAGGAGCUGGUGCAGCAGAGACAGCAGAUGACUGUGGCACAGCAUGAAGAAGAAGCCAGGAAGAAGGAGUUGGAGGAGCUAAAGGAGGAGUUGGAGGCACUCAGACAAGCCCAGACUAAACUGCAGCAGGAGGCACAGACCCAGGAGGCCGAGUGGUGCACCAGGCUGGAGGAGGCAGGCAGGAGGGAGGAGGAGCGGCAGGAUAAGGUGAAGGAGGUCUUGGAGGAGGAGAAGGAGCACUACAGGGUCUGGGAGGCCGAGUACAGGGAGCAGGUGCGGCAGCACGCACACACCAUUGUGGCCCUGGAGCAGCGCUGUGUCCAGAGCAAAGAGAAGCCCAGGAGCUGGAGGAGGGAGGGAAGCGCUGUUGGACAGCUGAGAGGUGAGGUUAGAGGGGGGGGG